UUGACUGCAGCACCAGCCCGGCUCUAGGUGUGUUUCAGUGCAAGGCAAUGCUACCCUCUGUGGGCUGCUGGCUGAACAGCUGGCUAACUUUGGGUAUGCACCUUAGCAGCGGCAUGGGAGAGAGCUCCAGGAGACCCGGUGGGGGGCAGCUGAGUUCUGAGAAGAGCUGGAACAGACCCUGCAUCGAGAUGCAGCCAGCUCUGGGGUGGAACAUGGCAGCACAGCACAAAGAAAGAAAGAGUCCUGUUGCCCGUGGGAACUGAUGGUCUUUAUGGAGGAAGGCUCCUGGAUGCAGCCUAGCACCACACACGGAAUCCAGAAACCCAGCACAUCUGAACCCCACCCGUCGCUGCUCUGGGGCCCAAGCGAGACUCCCACGGAGAGCCCAGAGACUGGUGGAGGAGGCUGCAGUGCUGAGUGGGGGAUGGGGAUUUUAACCAGCCAGGAUGCAAGCUGCAGUCUCCGGCUCCGUUACCUGCUACUCGCACCAGCCUCUUUGCUCAGUCCCUGCGGAACUGAGCACCUUGGUCCGGUAACUACUUGGCUGCCUGUGACGGGAAGGCUGUGGCGGGUUAUGGCUGCAUGCUGAGCAGAGAGGAUGCCAAGGGUUUCAAUUAGCUUUAGCUUCAUUAGAGCGCCCGAUAGGUUGGCCGGCUGAGUGCAGCAGCUCGGGGCGGGCCCGGGGUGCAGCAGGAGGAGGGAGCAGUGCGGGGAGCAAAGCGGGCAGCUGGCUUAGAUAAGAUCCCAAGAUGCAGAGGUGGAUGCCAUGGUUUGGGCAGUCCUGGCUCCUUGCUCCAUAGCCCCAGCUGACGGGGCAAUGCCUGAGCCCUCCCUUUCCUACAGCACUGUAAUGCAGCCAUACUGUUCUUGCCACCGCGACAGCUGUGCUGGACAGGGGGCUUCCCGGGGGCUGAGAGCUCAGUGCCACUUCAUGCUCUUGCUUUGAGUUUAUCUCCAGGGAAUCUACUGCUGGGAAAGGAGCCCAACAGGGUGUCCUGGCACGGGAAUUCUUCUGUCCACAGAGCAGGUCUCCCGUUGGCAGCGUGAGCUCUCUGCCCUGCCCCAUACAUACCUUCACUGACAUAGGGAAGGGCUGAGAGAGGGGUCUGACUCCACAGCCUGCUUGUUCACCUCCCUCUGCUGAGCCUGCCAGCAUGGGGGCAUGGGAGGGGGUGUUGUGAUGGGGUCAUCUGUCUGGUAGGGUCUCUGUUCUCCUGGCAUACAGGCCUCCCAGGGGCAUUUUCUUGGCACAGGGAACUCUGCCUGCACCCAGGUAUAGAAAAGGCUCAGCACAGGUUGGGCAUGAGCCGGCCCAAAGAGGGAGGGGACAACUGGCCAGGACAUUCCUGCGCCCCAAGAUUGUGCACCCUUGUGAAUGCCCAUGGGGGAGCACCGACCUAGAGCCACAACUUGGGCUGCCCUGGGCCACACCGGGGGCUGCACCAACCCCCGGAGCAACUGAACUGGGGAGGUGCAAACUGCUUCCCCUCUGACCCUGGGCUAGGAUGCAUCUGCCACGGAGCAGCCAGCCCCAGCCCUAGCCCUGGCCUGGAUUCAAACCGUUGGCCAGGAGCUCACCGGCUGAGUGUGUGUCCCCCCCCCCCCGUCACCUGGAACUGGCCACUGCAGCCAAUCCCCCUCCCAGGGCUGGCGGGUGCAGAACUGCUGGGCUGGGCUGCAUCCUGCUGGAACGUUCCCAGCCCAUGCCUGGCCCUCUCUCAGCGGCUCUGGCUGAUGGUGGGAGCUGCUUGGCUUGGCUGCUGGGUUUGUGAGCGAGGCCCACAACACACCUGUGCCCUGUGAUUCAUGGGGCUGGGGUGGACCCUCCUCUAUCCUAGGGCACAUGGGGUGGUAGAUUCUCAACAGGGCUCCACAGUCUCUCUCUCCCCCCUCACCUGCCUGCCCCCCAAGGCGGGGUUCUCCUGCUGCAUUUGCUCCCUUUCUUUUCUCUUCCUCUCUGGGCCCUGGGGGCUGGAUAUGUUGUCACAGGCCAGCUGCAGGGGCAUCCUGAGCGCAGAGCGGGGCAUGGAGAUCACUGAGGGAGCUACGUCCCUCUGAGAUGUGUUACCUGCAUGGCCAAGCCACAUGGGGACAGCUUUCACCCUGACAGGUGAAUUCAAGCAGGCAGCAAGGGAAGGGCAGCAGGAUGGUGAUAGUGGGCAAGGGAUUUGGGGCAUUCAAGCUGAACUGGUCUCCUAGAAUGUCUGUCUGUCAGUGCCGCCCUGCCCCACCCCUCUGUCUGUAGAUCUGUCUGAGCCGCCCUGCCCCACCCCUCUGUCUGUAGGUCUGUCUGUGCCACCCUGCCCCACUCCUCUGUAGGUCUGUCCGCGCUGCCAUGGCCCACCCCUCUGUCUGUAGGUCUGUCCGUGCCGCCCUGCCCCACCCCUCUGUCUGUAGGUCUGUCCGCGCCACCCUGCCCCACCCCUCUGUCUGUAGGUCUGUCCGCGCAGCCCUGCCCCACCUCUCUGUCUAUAGGUCUUCUGUGCCACCCUGCCUACCCCUCUGUCUGUAGGUCUGUCACAUUCUGAGUGCAUUCUCGCCUUAAGUAUCACUCCAGCAGACUUCUGGUUGGGGCGGGCUGCGCCAGCUCUCUGCUUUUCCUUUGUGACAUUCUCCUUUGCCUAGUGUCUGGGGGAUAUCCCUCCAUCCCCAGCCCCUUCAUGGAGACCUGAUCUCCCCCCAUUUUAUCCUCACCUCUACGGCUUCAUGUCUGCCCAGCUGUCUUGGGCUAGCCUGGAUCAUGAGAUUCCUUUGCUACCUUGAGAGAAGAGACAACUGCUGAGCACGCCUUCUGCCCUCUCUCCUCCCUUCCCUCUAUGUGCUACCUCCAUAGAGCAGCUUGGGGGGCCAGUGAUUGCGAUGUAUCUGCUCACUCUAACAAGCAGUCCUACCCUCUUCAUCAAAUGUGUCCAGGAGGGCUGGGGUGGCUGCUGCUCUGUGAUGUAUGGAAGGGAGCCAGCUUUUGAUCUGCAGUAAAGACUCCAGCCUAUAAACUUCUGCAAGAGCUUAAUGUCUAAUGGCUGCAAAACCCACAGGAAGGAAAGGCACUGAUUAAAAACGGAUAACGCUGCCCAGAAACUGCACACUCACUCCUGGCUAGAAGUCACCAAGCGCUUUCCAUUGCAUGCGUGUUGGCGUUGCUGUGUGUUGUGCUGCUCGGUGUCUUAAAUUGUGUGUGUUUGUUAUAGGCUACUGUGUGUGUGCGGAAUUGUGUUUUUUGUGUUGAUGUCUUACAGUAAUGUGCAUGUAGUGUUUGUCUAUUGUGUUGAUGUGUGUUUACACAGUGUUGGGUCUGUUGUUUUUCUCUGUGCAUGUUGCUGUGUGUGAAAUGGGUUCUGGAUUUGUGUGACACAAACAUGCCCAGGCAGGUGUGUUCCUGUGUCCAACCAUCUUCUCAGUAGUUCACCAAAGGGGGUCACAUGUGGUCUCUCCCCAAAGCUAGGAACUAGCUGAUCUCGCAAUAACAUGGCAAUGCUCGUAUGGGGAAACGAUUCCAGAGCUAUGUUAAGUGGGACACUGUGUUCCAAACAAUCAACAUCUGUGGAGCCAGCCCACAUCUUGUGUUUAGAGGCUGGACCAGAUGCAAGCUUGAGCCUUUACAAAGACAAAAGACCCCCAAGAGAACAGGGGAUCCUCCUGGGCUAGGGAACAGUAGUCUGUAACUGUACAAAGGAAGAAGACAGGGCAGAGGAUGUUGCUCAUUAUGGAGGAGACGCUGGCAGCAGGAGUGGCUCAUGAAAGGUGGAUUGCCCGUGGGCAACUACUGCAAGGACUGACCAUUGGGUGAGAAAUACCUUAUUAGAUGGGAAAAUAACUCACUAAGAAGUACAGGCUAUCGAUUGCACUUUGUAUAUUUUUACCUGUAACCUUGUAUUUCCAAACCCUUACACUUGCUUGUAUUUGAAGCUCUGACACACUGUGAAAUAGACUUGUUUGGUUUUACCAUA